rnacentral:rRNA from 1 species
CUACGGGUUGCUCCAGUAAGGAAUAUUGGGCAAUGGACGCAAGUCUGACCCAGCCAUGCCGCGUGCAGGAUGACAGCCCUACGGGUUGUAAACUGCUUUUAUACGGGAAAAAUUCCCUGGUCGUGCACCGGGGUUGAUGGUACCGUAAGAAUAAGCAUCGGCUAACUCCGUGCCAGCAGCCGCGGUAAUACGGAGGAUGCAAGCGUUAUCCGGAUUCAUUGGGUUUAAAGGGUGCGCAGGCGGAAUGAUAAGUCAGUGGUGAAAUCCUACGGCUCAACUGUAGAACUGCCAUUGAUACUGUUGUUCUUGAGUACAUUUGAAGUGGGCGGAAUGUGUCAUGUAGCGGUGAAAUGCUUAGAGAUGGCACAGAACACCGAUUGCGAAGGCAGCUCACUAAACUGUAACUGACGCUGAGGCACGAAAGCGUGGGGAUCAAACAGGAUUAGAUACCCGGGUAGUC